AUUUUGAAUCGCAGCUUUUGCAUUACAAGGCCUAAUGGACAAAUAUUACAAUUUAAUGUGCAGAAAAUAGAUCGCUUUGAAACCCAAAAUACCAGCCCAUUACAAUAUUCCCUAAACCCAGAAAACAAACACCUUGGAAAACAAAACCGAAUACCAGAAUCCUUGCAUCAUCGACGAUCUUUCAAGGUGAUAGAACUGGUUCAACAAACUGGGAAAGAAGAGAAAAGCUUGCACAGCUACAUAAGCCCACAAACUUCCAGAUUACAAUCUAGAUCUUCAAAA
rnacentral:misc_RNA from 1 species